CUCAUAUCUCUUAGUAUUCCAAGUCUUCCAGCUUCUUGCAGACUUGCUUGAGCUGAUCAAAGAUACAUUAGAGGACCGUAUAUUCUUUGCUGUCUUAUUU